rnacentral:tRNA from 2 species
CGGGGCGUAGCGCAGCCUGGUAGCGUACUUGGAUGGGGUCCAAGGGGUCGAGUGUUCGAAUCACUCCGUCCCGACCA